rnacentral:rRNA from 1 species
AACGAACGCUGGCGGCAUGCCUAAUACAUGCAAGUCGAACGAGACCUUCGGGUCUAGUGGCGCACGGGUGCGUAACGCGUGGGAAUCUGCCCUUGGGUUCGGAAUAACUCGCCGAAAGGCGUGCUAAUACCGGAUGAUGACGUAAGUCCAAAGAUUUAUCGCCCAAGGAUGAGCCCGCGUAGGAUUAGCUUGUUGGUGAGGUAAAAGCUCACCAAGGCGACGAUCCUUGGCUGGUCUGAGAGGAUGAUCAGCCACACUGGGACUGAGACACGGCCCAGACUCCUACGGGAGGCAGCAGUAGGGAAUAUUGGACAAUGGGCGAAAGCCUGAUCCAGCAAUGCCGCGUGAGUGAUGAAGGCCUUAGGGUUGUAAAGCUCUUUUACCCGGGAUGAUAAUGACAGUACCGGGAGAAUGAGCUCCGGCUAACUCCGUGCCAGCAGCCGCGGUAAUACGGAGGAGCUAGCGUUGUUCGGAAUUACUGGCGUAAAGCG